UAAGUGAAUGGUGAAUCUGGCGGGCUCAACCGUACAGACUAUUAUCCAAACUGGUAAACUCGAGAAUGGUAGAGGUAACUGGAAUUUCUAGUGUAGGAGUGAAAUCCGUAGAUAUUAGAAGGAACACCAAUGGCGUAGGCAGGUUACUGGACCAUUUCUGACACUGAGGCACGAAAGCGUGGGGGAGCGAAACCGGAUUAGAUACCCGGGUAGUCCACGCCGUAAACUAUGGAUACUA
rnacentral:rRNA from 1 species